rnacentral:rRNA from 1 species
AAUCAACGCUGGCGGCGUGCCUAACACAUGCAAGUCGAACGCGAAAGCCCCGCAAGGGGUAAGUAGAGUGGCAAACGGGUGAGUAACACGUGGGUGACCUGCCUUCGAGUGGGGGAUAACGUCCCGAAAGGGACGCUAAUACCGCAUAACACCCUGCCUUUGAAGAGGUGGAGAUCAAAGCCGGGACCGCAAGGCCUGGCGCUCAAAGAGGGGCCCGCGCCUGAUUAGCUAGUUGGUGAGGUAAUGGCUCACCAAGGCAACGAUCAGUAUCCGGCCUGAGAGGGCGGACGGACACACUGGGACUGAGACACGGCCCAGACUCCUACGGGAGGCAGCAGUGGGGAAUUGUUCGCAAUGGGCGCAAGCCUGACGACGCAACGCCGCGUGGAGGAUGAAGACCU